rnacentral:misc_RNA from 1 species
GAUGAAGCUCAAAUGGAAAGGCGUGUUAUUGGUAUCGAUGUGGACGGGAGCACAGGUUCACUGGCUGAUGUGGGGUUAUUUGCUGGAGUUCAAGGGAAAGAAUGUGUUGAUUCAACUGUGGAUGGCAAGCAUCUUGUUCUUGGCUGCAAAUACAACCGUUUUGUGCUUAAUCAUCCACCAACACAAACUCUCUGCUCUUUUCAUGCUACCCAAAACCACAGCUGACAAUACAAAGAAAUCCAACUGAUGCAUUAUACAUUAGGCUGCUCCCCGUUGUCUUGGACACGUGGC